rnacentral:rRNA from 1 species
CUGCUUCUACUGUCUGUAUGGAGCUGGGAGCGUCUUCCUGUUGGACGCCCGAAGAGCGUCAGGUUUGAUCCUUGGUAUGCAGAUGAACAUGACGAAUUACGGCUCCCCACGUGGGCUUACAAGUGGGAUAUCGUUUCCGAGAUGACGAACGAUGUAAAUCUCAUGUACCAAAAGUACAUUGCCGAGUUGGACACGAUUACGGCUGAGCAGGUAAGGAGGUCAUUACUUCAGUCCUUUCUCAUGCUUGCUUGA